rnacentral:rRNA from 1 species
CUAAUACCGGAUAUUAUGAGAUUCUCGCAUGGGAAACUUAUGAAAGCUAUAUGCGCCAAGAGAGAGCCUUGCGUUCCAUUAGCUAGUUGGUGGGGUAACGGCCCACCAAGGCGACGAUGGAUAGCCGGCCUGAGAGGGUGAACGGCCACAAGGGGACUGAGACACGGCCCUUACUCCUACGGGAGGCAGCAGUGGGGAAUAUUGGACAAUGGGCCACAAGCCUGAUCCAGCAAUUCUGUGUGCACGAUGAAGGUCUUCGGAUUGUAAAGUGCUUUCAGUUGGGAAGAAGAAAGUGACGGUACCAACAGAAGAAGCGACGGCUAAAUACGUGCCAGCAGCCGCGGUAAUACGUAUGUCGCAAGCGUUAUCCGGAUUUAUUGGGCGUAAAGCGCGUCUAGGCGGAAAAAUAAGUCUGAUGUUAAAAUGCGGGGCUCAACUCCGUAUUGCGUUGGAAACUGUUUUUCUAGAGUACUGGAGAGGUGGGCGGAACUACAAGUGUAGAGGUGAAAUUCGUAGAUAUUUGUAGGAAUGCCGAUGGAGAAGUCAGCUCACUGGACAGAUACUGACGCUAAAGCGCGAAAGCGUGGGGAGCAAAC